rnacentral:rRNA from 1 species
UACGGGGGGGGCAAGCGUUGUUCGGAAUUACUGGGCGUAAAGGGCUUGUAGGUGGCCAACUAAGUCAGACGUGAAAUCCCUCGGCUUAACCGGGGAACUGCGUCUGAUACUGGAUGGCUUGAGUGUGGGAGAGGGAUGCGGAAUUCCAGGUGUAGCGGUGAAAUGCGUAGAUAUCUGGAGGAACACCGGAGGCGAAAGCGGUCCACUGGGCAACUUCUGACGCUGAGGUGCGAAAGCUAGGGUAGCAAACGGG